rnacentral:rRNA from 1 species
UACGAAGGGGGCUAGCGUUGCUCGGAAUCACUGGGCGUAAAGCGCACGUAGGCGGAUCUUUAAGUCAGGGGUGAAAUCCCAAGGCUCAACCUUGGAACUGCCUUUGAUACUGGGGAUCUCGAGUCCGGAAGAGGUUGGUGGAACUGCGAGUGUAGAGGUGAAAUUCGUAGAUAUUCGCAAGAACACCAGUGGCGAAGGCGGCCAACUGGACGGUGACUGACGCUGAGACGCGAAAGCGUGGGGGAGCAAACAGGG